rnacentral:misc_RNA from 1 species
GAUGAAGAACGUAGCGAAAUGCGAUAAGUAAUGUGAAUUGCAGAAUUCAGUGAAUCAUCGAAUCUUUGAACGCACAUUGCGCCCGUCAGUAUUCUGGCGGGCAUGCCUGUUCGAGCGUCAUUACGCCCCUCAAGUCCCCUGUGGACUUGGUGUUGGGGAUCGGCGAGGCUGGUUUUCCAGCACGGCCGUCCCUUAAAUUAAUUGGCGGUCUCGCCGUGGCCCUCCUCUGCGCAGUAGUAAAACACUCGCAACAGGAGCCCGGCGCGGUCCACUGCCGUAAAACCCCCCAACUUUUUAUAGUUGACCUCGAAUCAGGUAGGACUACCCGCUGAACUUAAGCAUAUAAUAAGCGGAGGA